GAUCCGCGAUACGUCCUGGAAGCCGCCGUGUUCCAUCAUGACUGGUAGGAGCGAGCUUCUAAGCAAACGGCUUUAGUGUCCGGCUCUUUCUUGUGCGAACCUGCAAGAAGAAUGUGAAGACAGAUCGGGGGCCAGCAGCAAUGCUCGGCCUUCAAAACCUCUUUGACUUAGACCUCAAAUGAAGCGAGACAACCCGCUGAACUUAA
rnacentral:misc_RNA from 1 species